CGUCUAUAUACGUAUAGCAUAUCAAUAAGCGGAGGAAAAGAAACUAACAAGGAUUCCCUUAGUAACGGCGAGUGAAGCGGGAAGAGCUCAAAUUUGAAAUCUUCAAGGUUCUACCUUGACGAAUUGUAGUUUAAAGAAGUGUUUUCUGUUAGAGGAGUAGCAAUAGUUCCUUGGAAUGGGACAUCAUAGAGGGUGAGAAUCCCGUAUUUGGUUACUUCUUUCUAGCUUUGUGAUACACUUUCAAAGAGUCGGAUUGUUUGGGAAUGCAGUCCAAAAUGGGUGGUAAAUUUCAUCUAAAGCUAAAUAUUGGCGAGAGACCGAUAGCGAACAAGUACCGUGAGGGAAAGAUGAAAAGAACUUUGAAAAGAGAGUUAAACAGUACGUGAAAUUGUCAAAAGGGAAGCGUUUGACACCAGUGUUGUUUUUCCGAAAAUCAAUUAAGAGUGGCUUGAUUUUGUGUUGUAUUGACCUUAUCAGCUUUCUUCACUCUUUUUCGAGUCUUUCUUAAUGCACUUUUCGGUUAACAAGUCAACAUCAAUUUCUUUUGUUGUAAAAGGGUAUUUGGAAGGUGGCUUUCUUUUCGGAGAAAGUGUUUAUAGCCUUAUACCUCUACAAUCGGAGAGAUUGAGGUCUGCAGCGUAGAUCCUUCGGGGCUAGAUACACUUGUGCUAAGUUAUAGCUUUUCAUAGACAACUUGUUGACUAUGUUUAGUCAUGUAGCUUACCCGCUUGUGCUAUUUUACCUACGCUUAGGAUGUUGAGUCAUCACACAUCUCU
rnacentral:rRNA from 1 species